GGUCUGAUUCUGGCUCAGAUUGAACGCUGGCGGAGGCACACAUGCAAGUCGAACGGCAGCCAGAUUCUGGUCUGGUGGCGAGUGGCGAACGGGUGAGUAAUGUCGGAACGUGCCUAGUAGCGGGGGAUAACUACGCGAAAGCGUAGCUAAUACCGCAUACGCCCUUCGGGGGAAGCGGGGACCUUCGGCCCCUCGCACCAGAGCGGCCGAUAUCGGAUUAGCUAGUUGGCAGGGCACACAUCUCACUGUUGCGACGAUCCGUAGCUGGUUUGAGAGGACGACCAGCCACACUGGGACUGAGACACGGCCUAGACUCCUACGGGAGGCAGCAGUGGGGAAUUUUUUGACAAUGGGGGAAACCCUGAUCCAGCCAUCCCGCGUGUGCGAUGAAGGCCUUCGGGUUGCAAAGCACUUUUGGCAGGAAAGAAACGGCACUAGAUAAUACCCCGUGCAACUGACGGUAUUCGCAGAAUAAGCACCGGCUAACUACGCGCCAGCAGCCGCGGUAAUACGUAGGGUGCAAGCGUUAAUCGGAAUUUAGCUAGCGUAAAGCGUGCGCAGGCGGUUCGGAAAGAAAGAUGUGAACCAGAGCUUAACUUUGGAACUGCAUUUUUAACUGAGCUAGAGUGUGUCAGAGGGAGGUGGAAUUCCGCGUGUAGCAGCGGAAUGCGUAGAUAUGCAGGAACACCGAUGGCGAAGGCAGCCUCCUGGGAUAACACCGACGCUCAUGCACGAAAGCGUGGGGAGCAAACAGGAUUAGAUACUCCUGGUGUCCACGCCCUAAACGAUGUCAACUAGCUGUUGGGGCCUUCGUAUUCUGGUAGCGCAGCUAACGCGAAUAACGCCUGGGGAGUACGGUCAAAGAUUAAAACUCAAAGGAAUUGACGGGGACCCGCACAAGCAGUGGAUGAUGUGAUUAAUUCGAUGCAACGCGAAAAACCUUAAUUUCACCUCCUUGACAUGUCUGGAAUCCCGAAGAGAUUUGGGAGUGCUCGCAAGAGAACCGGAACACAGGUGCUGCAUGGCUGUCAUUUCCUCUAGCUCGUGUCGUGAGAUGUUGGGUUAAGUCCCAACGAGCGCAACCCUUGUCAUUAGUUGCUACGAAAGGGCACUCUAAUGAGACUGCCGGUGACAAACCGGAGGAAGGUGGGGAUGACGUCAAGUCCUCAUGGCCCUUAUGGGGCUUCACACGUCAUACAAUGGUCGGGACAGAGGGUCGCCAACCCGCGAGGGGGAGCCAAUCCCAGAAACCCGAUCGUAGUCCGGAUCGCAGUCUGCAACUCGACUGCGUGAAGUCGGAAUCGCUAGUAAUCGCGGAUCAGCAUGUCGCGGUGAAUACGUUCCCAGUCUUGUACACACCGCCCGUCACACCAUGGGAGUGGGUUUUACCAGAAGUAGUUAGCCUAACCGUAAGGAGGGCGAUUACCACGGUAGGAUUCAUGACUGGGGUGAAGUCGUAACAAGGUAG
rnacentral:rRNA from 1 species